CCUACGGGCGGCAGCAGUGGGGAAUAUUGGGCAAUGGGCGCAAGCCUGACCCAGCAACGCCGCGUGAAGGAAGAAGGCUUUCGGGUUGUAAACUUUUUUUGUCAGGGAAGAGUAGAAGACGGUCCCUGACGAAUAAGCCAUGGCUAACUAGGUGCCAGCAGCCGCGGUAAUACGUAGGUCGCACGCGUUGUCCGGAUUUACUGGGUGUAAAGGGCGUGUAGGCGGGUUGACAAGUCAGAUGUGAAAUCCUGCGGCUUAACCGCAGAACUGCAUUUGAAACUGUUUAUCUUGAGUACUGGAGAGGCAGGUGGAAUUCCUAGUGUAGCGGUGAAAUGCGUAGAUAUUAGGAGGAACACCAGUGGCGAAGGCGGUCUGCUGGACAGCAACUGACGUUGAGGCGCGAAAGCGUGGGGAGCAAACAGGAUUAGAUACCCCAGUAGUC
rnacentral:rRNA from 1 species